CAGUUGCCUUUGACGCAAGUUUACGUUUGUAUUAAACUGUUACUGUCAGUACCAAGUUAAGCUAUAGUUUCUUGGGUUAUAUAGUUAUGAGUUAUCGAUUCUUUAUUCUUCAUGUAGUUGUUUUGGUAUUAGUAGAACAUGGGAAUUCGCAAACUUACGAUUUUAUGAAUUCCAACGAGACAGUACGCUACCGAAUUUACAGCGAACGAAAUGGUUUUCGCGCAGCAUCAGCGUUAUGCACAAAUAGUUACAACGGUUCUUUACUGAUGAUCAAAAAUGAAACUCAAGCACAAGAUGCUAUUGCACUUUACCGACAAUUUGCUUCUCAAACUGGUAUGACAUUCGGUCUUAACGCUUGGCACGGCCUGUACUGGUCGAACGUAUCUUGGACCUAUAUUGACGGUACAGAGCCUGGCAGUUAUUCACAAUGGAGGCCUGACUUCAACGCUGUUGCUCCGACCUCUUUCUGUUCUGUUCUGUUUUUCCCGGCUGUCACUAACACACGAAAACGGCGAUCGCUUGAAAGAUUAAAAAGGAACACCGGUGUAACGUUAUUUUGGGGCUAUGAGAGAUGCGAUCAGAUCAAAACGAUUAUUUGUCAAAGAAAAGUUCCCAAACCUAUACCAACAACUACUGCAUUACAACCGGUACUGGUAACACAGGCAAUUUCUACAAAUAAAACUUUCUCUCAGCUAAUCGAAAAAUUGACGGCUAAUGUACAGAAUCCGUCAGCAGUUUGUCAAACAGAUAAUCAAAUUAAUCGUUUUCAAAAUCUUUCACAAACUCCAGAUGUACAGGUGUCUUUGUAUACGAUGAAAAACGCCCUCAAGAUUGCGAAUUCCCUGAAGCUUUCUAUACAAAGCGAACCGAACUGCAAUGUAUCUGCCGUUCAAAAAUAUGAGAUCGUAAAUACCUUGCGAAGUUUUGCAUUGAAAGUUGAAAUACCCAACAUUGAGACUCAGAUAUCUCUCAACGAAUCAGAUGUAUCUGUACAAGUUCUUCUUCAUUCGAACCUUAUAUCUCGAGAACGUUAUUUGAACAUAACAUUCGGUGAUAUUUGGGUUCGUAUUCCUGUCAAUGAAAUUCGCCAAAGGGUGAAUUAUUUUCGGGAUCCAAUCAGAAUUGUGUACAUCGCGUAUCAAGAUAGCACUCUGUUCGAUACGGAUUUGCAUGUAACUCAAGUUAUAACAGCAAACGUAAACGAGCAGAUUUUGAUUCCUUUAAUUUCGCCGAUAUAUUUUCGAAUACCAAUACCAAAGACAUCAAAUAAGGAAACCCAGUGGGUACGGUGUGCUCGGUGGAAGCCUGGGAACUUGACUUGGUCUUUUGAAGGUUGCCUAACUUCUAUUAGUGAAGGAUAUGUACUUUGUGAAUGCAGGGACCUCACGCAUCUUUCAGUUGUUGUGAGACGAUCCACCGCUUCAGUGAAAACCCCUCAGUUCACGGUUGCCUGCAAGCUUAUUCUUCUAAUUGGAAUCGUAGCACUGCUUUCAACAUUGGUAUUCUACACAAUUUGCGACUCUUUACGAACGUCGUUAUGCGGACCAAUUUACAUAAACUUGUUCGCAACACAAUUGGUUGCAUAUAUUACAUUCAUUGUCGGCAUUGACCUUAUACAAUAUAACAUAAGUUGUGAUGUAGUUGCGGCGAUUGUUCAAAAUUUUAUCUUGAACGCUUGGGUUUGGUUGCUACUGGAAGCAUUCGCUUUAUUCAGGCUGUUAGUCAUGAAAUGCUCUUCGUUUGAAAACAACUUUCUUCUCAAAGCUUCUUUAGCAUCGUACUUGUUCCCAGCGGUUAUAGUAGCAGUGAACGUAGGCCUAACAUCUGCUUUGCAUUCGCAUGAAACCGACCACAUUACUGACUGGAUCGCAAUUAAAGAUGAACACGAGCUCCAUCAUUCUCUUUACACAAGUCAAUAUUUCUGCUUUCUUCAUUCAAACUCCUUAUAUUUCGGAUUUAUAUUGGAAAUCGUUUUCGUUUUGGUAUCUACAGUUGCCGCUUAUUUGUACAUUGUAUAUAAACUUACAAACACCGAGGAAAGCCAGGAGACCGCUGAUCCCGCCAUAAACGACCGUUCCAAAUUUUACCUUGUACGAGCUGUAACAAACUGUCUUAGCAUGGCUGUAUGUUGGCUUUUAAUCGUACCUGUUGCUCUGACAAGCCAAGAUGAGAGAUUUCGAUCUAUAACAACUUACAUAUUCACAAUAUAUGCUUCUUUUCAUGCACUUCUGAUGUUCUACCUAAUGUGUCUGUACGAAGCAAAGGUUCGAAACUUGUGGUGUAUUUGGCGAAAUAAGGAAAAUGAUGGCGAGCGUGUUGACAGACCUCUGCCAGAAAUACCAGCAGCAGUUGGCCGGAAAUCUCGUAAGCAACCACCAGCGAUCAUACACCCAAAGCCAAUCAUGAAUAUAUCGCUACCUAUGAAUGAAGCUGCGACCACAGAACAUGUCGUAACGCCAAUACAGCCAAAGCUUGUCUGCCAGGAAGAGGAAAUUGCUCCUUACUUUUACCCAAUACACGAGGAGAUACCUUUGAGAGAAUACAACACUCUAAGUGUCCUAAACCCUCCUUCUAAAAAGGUCCCACCCCGACCCCCACGCCGUACUUCGUCACUUACAAACAUAAGGUUCAAACUACCCGUAAAUAACAUGUUUGACGCCACAGAAGAAGAAACAAAGGACAAGGAGAGACGAAUUGCCACCGAACGCAAAUACUCUUCAGUGAAGUUCAGUUUUCCGCGAAGAAAGUCCCGCAUAAAUAAGACACAAUAACUUUGGGGACAAACUUGGACCUCUAUGACUCUAUAUAGAAUUGACAUACUGUAUAGGUUAAGCUUUUGUUGGUAAAUUCCUUAUAAGUGUCGCCACUUCAUACACAGCAAUUUGAUUUCCGGUCUGGAUCACAAACAACCUCGUUAAAAAACAAACUCAAAGACGAAACACGUCACUCUUGCCAUUUUUCAACAAAUUACUACUAUACGACUGUGAGAAGUCUGUUUUAUUAAUUGGAAGUCUGUUUUAUUUUUACUGCCCGAUCGCCACAUAUAUUGUAGUCAAAUCGAUUUAUAAACUAAUUUAACGAAGUGAACACUUUUCCUGAAAGCCUACGAACUUUUAAACGUGUCAGUGCACAUAGAAAAUUUGGCACAUUUCGUAAGCUGUAUAUGUAGCUUAUAUUCGUUUAUAAAACAAUAUAUAGAACUUUUUCUCUACAAAAUUAUUUCACAAAAUAUAAAGAUUUAAAAAGAUAAAUUGUCAUUAAAAUACUACGACGAAAAAAAAACGGAUUUAAAAAGAACUCAAAACAAGAGUGUAUGAUAUACAUUCAACUGAUACCAUGCGAAUAGCCUAUAUUUCGCUAUGCUCUACUCUUGGUUGGGGUAUUUUGUUAGUUUUCUAAGUUACUACUUGUUAAUUUUACUUAUUCACAGUGUGCUUGCCUUGAUUUAAACCCGAGACGAAAAAGAAACUACAAGACUUUUGACACAUCCUAGCAAAAGCAAAGCAUAAGAGAAAAUUUGGAAGCACAAUAACAACGUUGGUUGUUGAAAGUUAUUGACGAACAUGUUGGCAAAUAAGCGAAACAAAAACAAAGUACGUAAAAGAAUUUAAGCAGGUUGCGCUAACCUGAAUCUAAUACGACGCAAACCAUUUUGAAUGUGGUUUGACUCGCCACACGAAAGAAGACGGAAUUACAAUUUGGGCAUUUCAUUUUACAUUAUAACAUUAUUUUAAUUUUCCGUAUACUUUCCUUUUCUUUUUGUUUGGGAUAAAAGAUUAAAAGGUUCUGCCGCAUUAACUCGAGGUAGAGUUGAAUUACUACGAACUAUUAGUGGUUAGUUUUAGCAUUAUAAUGUUAAUUAUAUACAUGUUGUUUAGUGGUAAUGUUUAAGUUGCAAUUAGUGUUAUGACAUCUAAACUAACGUGAUGUGCAGAUUAUAUCAUGU